rnacentral:rRNA from 1 species
AACGAACGCUGGCGGCAGGCUUAACACAUGCAAGUCGAACGCGUGUAGCAAUACACGAGUGGCGCACGGGUGAGUAACGCGUGGAUAUCUGCCUUUUGGUUCGGAAUAACCCCGGGAAACUGGGGCUAAUACCGGAUGGUUCCUUCGGGAUAAAGAUUUAUCGCCAAAAGAUGAGUCCGCGUCCGAUUAGCUAGUUGGUGAGGUAAUGGCUCACCAAGGCGACGAUCGGUAGCUGGCUGAGAGGACGAUCAGCCACACUGGGACUGAGACACGGCCCAGACUCCUACGGGAGGCAGCAGUGGGGAAUAUUGGACAAUGGGGGCAACCCUGAUCCAGCCAUGCCGCGUGAGUGAUGAAGGCC